rnacentral:piRNA from 1 species
UCUAUCUUAAUUGUUGAAGUUUGGUUC